rnacentral:rRNA from 1 species
CGAGAAUUUUUCUCAAUGGGCGCAAGCCUGAUCUAGCCAUGCCGCGUGAGCGAUGAAGGCCUUAGGGUUGUAAAGCUCUUUCAGUGGGGAAGAUAAUGACUGUACCCACAGAAGAAGCCCCGGCUAACUCCGUGCCAGCAGCCGCGGUAAUACGGAGGGGGCUAGCGUUGUUCGGAAUUACUGGGCGUAAAGCGCACGUAGGCGGACUGGAAAGUCAGAGGUGAAAUCCCAGGGCUCAACCUUGGAACUGCCUUUGAAACUCCCGGUCUUGAGGUCGAGAGAGGUGAGUGGAAUUCCGAGUGUAGAGGUGAAAUUCGUAGAUAUUCGGAGGAACACCAGUGGCGAAGGCGGCUCACUGGCUCGAUACUGACGCUGAGGUGCGAAAGCGUGGGGAGCAAA